CAGGCCUAACACAUGCAAGUCGAACGAUGGCUUUGGCCAUAGUGGCGCACGGGUGCGUAACGCGUGGGAAUCUGCCCUUGGGUUCGGAAUAACCAGGAGAAAUUCUGGCUAAUACCGGAUGAUGACGUAAGUCCAAAGAUUUAUCGCCCAAGGAUGAGCCCGCGUAGGAUUAGCUUGUUGGUGAGGUAAAGGCUCACCAAGGCGACGAUCCUUAGCUGGUCUGAGAGGAUGAUCAGCCACACUGGGACUGAGACACGGCCCAGACUCCUACGGGAGGCAGCAGUGGGGAAUAUUGGACAAUGGGCGAAAGCCUGAUCCAGCAAUGCCGCGUGAGUGAUGAAGGCCUUAGGGUUGUAAAGCUCUUUUACCCGGGAUGAUAAUGACAGUACCGGGAGAAUA
rnacentral:rRNA from 1 species